CUUUGCCUACGGGGGGCAGCAGUGGGGAAUAUUGGGCAAUGGGCGCAAGCCUGACCCAGCAAUGCCGCGUGAAGGAAGAAGGCUUUCGGGUUGUAAACUUCUUUGACAGGGGAAGAGCAGAAGACGGUACCCUGAAAACAAGCCACGGCUAACUACGUGCCAGCAGCCGCGGUAAUACGUAGGUGGCAAGCGUUGUCCGGAUUUACUGGGUGUAAAGGGUGCGUAGGCGGCCCUGCAAGUCAGAAGUGAAAUCCAUGGGCUUAACCCGUGAACUGCUUUUGAAACUGCAGGACUUGAGUGGAGUA
rnacentral:rRNA from 1 species